CUUGCGUCGCGACGACGAGAGAGGAUGAGGACCUUCACAGUGUUCCCGAGUGGCUUUGCUCCGCGUGGGCGAUAAGCUCUGCAACUCCACAGAGAGAGAGAGAGAGAGAGAGGAAGAGAGCGGGGGACGUGAGGCGGCCACAGAAAGAUCCAGUCGACUGCUACCCAUGGGAUUUACCUCAAGUAGCGCCUUCUAUGGCGUGCUGUCCCCAGAUUUAGCCCCCUGCCAUGGCCGCAUGGGACAAACUAAUGCGAUUCAGAAGAAGAAGAAGAAGAAAAGGUGAACCCCGACAUGAGACCUCGCGUCGCCCAAGCAAGGGAGGAGAUGGCUCCGCCCGCAUCUGGAUGCGCGAAAACUGGGAUCGGAGGAUGAUUAAACAAGCGCUCCACCCCGCUCGCUCCCACACUGUCCCCCCGAAUAGGCCCCAUCAUCCUCCCCGGGGGGCUGCAGAAUCUGCUAAUCCGUAUCGUUUGUCACGGCCUGCCCAGCAUGUGCCGUCCACCCCGGCGUCCCCCUGCAAUCCGGCUCGCGGGGACGAGGACCACCGGUGGGGGCGCUGCAGCGCCAGUAGGAGAGAAGAAAGAGGGCUGGUGAUGGAGGGUACCUUCGUAGUCUUCUGCCCGAGCACCUCCGUCCCCUCGGGCACCUGCCUUCCCGGCCGAUGAAGCUUCUGCUCCUCCGUGUCUGUACGUGGGUCUUAUGGAUCUGCACAACCCUGUGAAAUCCUUCUUCUUUCAGAUGGAUUACUACUCUGUUCGUGAGCGGCUGCCAACCGCUCUCUUCUUCGUCGAUCUCCCGCUCCCCACUCCCGCCUUCAAGACCAUAUAUUACCUCCCUCCCCACCC
rnacentral:lncRNA from 1 species